CAACGUGACCAAUCUGCCCUCGAGACGGGGAUAACGUUGGGAAACCAGCGCUAAUACCCGAUGACCCUGCGGUGCGGCAUCACACUGCAGGCAAAUGGAUUCCGCUCGAGGAGGAGGUCGCGGCCUAUCAGCUUGUUGGCGGGGUAAAGGCCCACCAAGGCAACGACGGGUAGCUGGUCUGAGAGGAUGGCCAGCCACAUUGGGACUGAGAUACGGCCCAG
rnacentral:rRNA from 1 species